GGCGCUAUAGCUAAGUGGUUAAAGCGACAGAUUAGAAUAAAACAAUCCCAUUAUCCUGAUUAUCUGUUCCUCUUUGAGGGCGCAGGUUCAAAUCCUGCUGGCGUCG